rnacentral:rRNA from 1 species
CAGUCGCCGCGGGAAUACGGAGGGUGCAAGCGUUAAUCGGAAUUACUGGGCGUAAAGCGCACGCAGGCGGUCUGACAAGUCAGAUGUGAAAUCCCCGGGCUUAACCUGGGAACUGCAUCCAAAACUGGCAAGCUAGAGUAUGGUAGAGGGUGGUGGAAUUUCCUGUGUAGCGGUGAAAUGCGUAGAUAUAGGAAGGAACACCAGUGGCGAAGGCGACCACCUGGACUGAUACUGACACUGAGGUGCGAAAGCGUGGGGAGCAAACAGGAUUAGAUACCCGAGUAGUCCCUGUCUCUUAUAC